rnacentral:rRNA from 1 species
ACACGACUACAUUAGAUACCCCCGUAGUCCUAGGCGUAAACGAUACUCGCUAGGUGUCGGCCACGGUGCGACCGUUGUCGGUGCCGUAGGGAAGCCGUGAAGCGAGCCACCUGGGAAGUACGGCCGCAAGGCUGAAACUUAAAGGAAUUGGCGGGGGAGCACAACAACGGGUGGAGCUUGCGGUUUAAUUGGAUUCAACGCCGGAAAUCUUACCGGGACCGACAGCAACAUGAAGGCCAAGCUGAAGACUUUGCCGGAUUAGCUG